rnacentral:lncRNA from 1 species
UUUUUUUAGGUACUAUGUGCUUUUAAUAGCUCAUCACUGGGAAUAUUUCACAAUCAAGAGUAAGAUAACAGGCUAACAUUACAAAUGUAAAUGUAGACUUUUAGUUAAGUGUACAGGUCAGCUUUUCGGGAAGCUGACCGAGAUAAACAACGUAGGAGGUACAAGUGACCACCUGGAGUUCCUGUACUUCAUUCUGCUUGCAGAAUAUUUAUUAAAGUUGUUUAAUGUAUGACUUUUCAUUUGACUUUGUGGAAGUCCUUUAUUAUAAAGCUAAUCCUUCUGCCUGGUGACAAGCAGCAGCCACGACGAUCACUCUGGACCCCCUCACUGAAUAAAUUCCAUUUCCUCUUGAGACAUAGGUUUCCUUCUAUGUAAUGAUUGUAUUAUUUCUGCAGUGGCUGGUGGCCCCUGAUGCAUCAGUAAAUCUGGGGACAUAUUUCCUUUGGGAUGCUGUGAAGUGACAGAGGAGUGGGAGGGGAGCAGCAGAUCCCAGAGCUUCGGAGACACUGAGGUUAGGGCUGUCUCUUCUGUUGGGAACUUUACUAAUCGAGCAUGUGGUUUCGCUACCUGCACGACCCUGAUGGUGGAAGCCAUUCUCGCUGCCCAUUGUGGUCCCCAACUGAUAAGGAUUUCUUAAGGGGAGUUGUAAAAUAGUAUAGUUUCUAUUAUUCUCCAUGUAAUUAUGCUAACAUUUAAUGUUUGCUUCAAAAUAUUACACUGGGCCAGAAAGAUGACUCAGCAGGUAAAGGUGCUUGCCAUGGGGCCUGGUGACCUGAAAUCAGUCCCUUGGAGUGCCAGCUCCCAGAGGUUGUCCUCUGACCUUCACGUGGAUGUGACAAACACAUUCCCGCCCCCAACUAAGUAAAAAAUGUUUUUAAAAUAAAUAUCACACUGUCAUCAUCAGUUUGUUUCCUGCACGGCUAACUCUAGAAUUUUUCAUCCACGUGUUGAGCCUAUCAGUAGGCCUAAAAGGGACAAACUGGGGUGAAUUGGCAAUCUGAAGUCCCAAGGCCUAACCGUGGAGGGUCAUGCCUUGUUUCUGAUUUCAGUGUGUGCCCUGCUGUUCCUGUGCACCUUCUCCUAACCUGAAGUGUGAGAUGGGAGGACUCGUUACUGCUAUAGAAAUGUCCUGCUCUGGUUGGAGACUGGAAAGCGUAGGUGGGGCUGUGCAGUGCACUCUGGAGACCAGGUUUACCCUGGGAGUGGUUAGUAGUCAUGUACUUUAGAUAGGCAGCGCAGCCAGAUGCUCUGAGGCGGGGUGUUGAAAUCACCUAGACCUGAACUGAAGAUGAUCAGAAUAAGCUUUUGGAUUUUUAUACAAAUAAAUAAUGAAAUUGU